rfam:Dipodomys ordii contig_8179, whole genome shotgun sequence.
GGUGGCUCAGUGGUAGAGUGCUUGCCUUGCAUGCAUGAGGCCCUGGGUUCAAUCCUCAGCACCA